AUAGGAGGUGGCAGGUGUGACUGAGGCAGGCACUCUCCAGUUACUCUCUCUGAGGAAGAAGUUUGGGCUGGAAAACCCAGAGAAAUGGGAAGGGCUAGAGAGGUGGGAAAGCAGCAAAGACCUAUAGCCAGGAGCAACAAAUGCAUCUGGAUGCAACAACUUUGCAAUUCUCACGAGCAGCUCACUGCUGUGGCUGUGUUUUCCUUCCCUGUUUGGGGUGACAGGCUGAUCCAAAGGCUUUGCCGUAUUGCAUGAGAAGAACCCCUUUGAGAUGAGCCUUCUGCAGGGGUAUUAGAAAGCAUUAUUCCACUCUGAGAUGUGCCUAUGUAACAGUGGCUGUGGGGACCUCCAGUUUAUUAGUUCCCAGGCAUUCCAGAUCCAAUGUGCUCUCCUUUCCAAGUAAAGAAAUGUCUUUUCUAACUGUGAAACCUGCCCUGGGACCUGAGAGUCCACUGGACUUAUUCAGCAUCCCUUCUGGUGCAUCAUUAUCAGUGCUAAAGAUUCUGCAGCCACAUUGUUCCCUCAAUCACUUCCAUGCAACCCCCUCUCCCUUCAAAAUACACCCUCAGUGACACACAUGUAAUUCCAUCACCUUCAGCACAGGUGUCACUGUAACUUAUUAAACAGCCCUGUUGCUGAUGCACAAGUUGGAAUAGCUCAGCGGGGCUAAUGGGAGUAAAAGGCUGGGAAAGUUAUUUCUGUCUCUAUAGUGAGCCACUAUAACUCAAUACACACAGGGGUCAGAUCUAUUGAGCAGGAAAGUGCUCUUUUUUACAAGCAUUUUGAAGAGCGCUGCUGCACUUUAAGCUCCUUGGGUGGCAGAUCAAUGGGGGCGGGGGUCCACUGGCAUGGCUGAGGCAAACUGCCAUAAUGAUGAAAUGUAGUUUUACUUGGAGAUCAAUCAGCAUACGGCCUGAAAAAGCAUAAAACUUUCCACUCUCUCCUGCACACCACAAGACAAACCCUCAGGAAAGCUUUACACAGUUGAUUCAACGUCCUCUCUAGCUGAUGAGGCUGAUCGCUGGUCAGCGCUUGCUACUGUGUGCCACUCCAGCACUGCAAAGAAGUCACCAAGCUGUCAGAGCCCCAGUGAAUCUGGCCUUGCUUUUGACCAAUGCCCUAAGAAGCUCGCGCUAUCCAGUGCACCUGCAAUUGCUGUCAAGUCAGUGCAUAUAAAGAAUAGGAUUGUCCCUCAUCUCUGCUCCCCAACUGU